UGCACGCCCCCUCGUCCUUGUCCCCGCCCAUUUUUCGCGCCUGGGGGGGGCGGGGCAGAGCGGGACCCAGCGGCCGAGGGGUGAGCGGGGGCGGGGGGGUGUCGGGGGGUUUGGGGGGGUCAGGGGGGACACCGAGGGGUGGGGGGGAGGGGCAAAGUGCGGCUGGUGGCAAAGUCCAUCCCAGGGAGGGGUGGGGGGCACAGGUCCCCGGGACCCCCCCGGGACCCCCCCGGCCGCUCUCACCCCAGGACCCGGCAGCAAUGGAGACCCUGAGACGCUGCUUCCGUGGACGGGGGGGCCUGGUCUACGGUCACUACGGGCGCCCCCAGGACCUGGCGCUGCUGCGGGGGAGGGGAGUGUCGCCCCGUGGGAACCUCCUGCUGCUCCGCCUGGGGAGGGGCCCCCCCGCCACCAAGGUGGCGGCGGCGGCGGGAGCGGGGGCCAUCGGGGUGCUGCUGUACCCCGACCCCCAGGACACGGCCAUGCCCGGGGGGGGGCCCGGGCUGGGGGCGGACACGGCCGUGACCGUCCACGUGAGUGGGGGGGCGGGGAGGGGAUGGGGGGUACAGGGGACUGGGGGUAAGUUGG
rnacentral:lncRNA from 1 species